ACUCCUACGGGAGGCAGCAGUGGGGAAUCUUGGACAAUGGGCGCAAGCCUGAUCCAGCAAUAUUGCGUGAGUGAAGAAGGGCAAUUCCGCUCGUAAAGCUCUUUCGUCGAGUGCGCGAUCAUGACAUGACUCGAGGAAGAAGCCCCGGCUAACUCCGUGCCAGCAGCCGCGGUAAU
rnacentral:rRNA from 1 species